AUCAUUUGCAACCAAUAGGUUCUACACUAGUGAUCAGUUGAAAAAAUUUUCAAGCAUUUUCACGAUACAGUUUCAUCCCAAAAAUUGCUCUCUUCUUCAUUGUCUUCUUCUCCUCCCAAAGUUUGUUCUUCUUCUUCUUCAAGCUUCAUUCUUCUCUUUAAGCUCACUCCUUUUUCAAGUUUCAACCAAGUUUUCCUUGUCUUCCGGUUUCAUCCGGAAUUUUCAUUGUUUCUUCAAGUUUUUCUGUCGUUUUCAAGCUAGCUUCAUUCAAGUAGUUCCCAUUUCAAUUUAUCAUCCUUUCAAACUUCCAUUAUCCCCAUUUUUAUUCCUUCCUCCCUCUUCCCUUAUAAAACGCCAUUAAUUGUGUUUUUUGUGUUUACUUUUACAUUUUUUGCUAAAAAAAUAGCUAUGUGUACUAAUUUUGUCUUUCUUACUUCAGUGUAGGUCACAUUGCAACUAUUAUUCAUCUAGAUUCUAGAUUCACAAGUUGGGAUCCUGUGGGCUACAGUGAUCACAGUGGAUUCGAUAAAUUCGGUUCUUAUUGUUUUCUGAAGGAUCAUGUCAGUUGCAUUAUCAAUGGAUGUGGUAGCUUCAUCAAGCACUAGCACCCUGCUUCUCCUCAGUAAAGCGCGCCCAAGACAGAACAAUUGUCGUUGCCCCAUGCUCCAAUUUGAUCCAUCUUCCUCAACUGAAGUUUGCAGCUCUGGUGCUACAAGAAACUUUGCAAUCCUUGCAAAUGCAACUCUUGCUUGAAUGAAUACGCCAAGGACAUCAGGGAUGGCUCGAAUUGGCUCUUGCACUAGACGUGAUGUUGCAACAAACGUGAAAACAUU